CUUGAUUUCGUCACACCUUAGCAGUGAGCCUCCCCACAUCUGUCAAUCACCUGUCUCCCCUGCAGGUUCCAGAGUUGCCACAGCAUCCCUUUCAUUGGCCAAAGAAAAAUAUAAUAGCAUCCUGGAUUUAAGGAGUGGAAAGUCAGCUUCUAUCCUGCUAGGACGAGCCAAUAAGAUACCUCACAAGAAGAACGCUACUGGGAAGGGAAGGAAAAUUACAGGCAUCUGUCCAGUCUGCUACAUGCAUCAUGAAAGACUAGAGCACCUUGGAGUUGAGAGCUGGAUGAAACCCUUGUCUGCUAACAGGAAAAAUAAAUACAGGUGUUCCUUUUCCCAUCUUGGCGAAAGAUAUUAUGAAGGGGAAAUAUGUAGAAAGCGUCUUCGGUGGAACUUUGGGCAGUUGCAGUGGACAGCGCUAAGGGACAGUUUCCGUGGCUUCAGGCUUCAGGUCUGACUAUUCUCCUACAGAUCAUCAUUCCGAGUCCACAGAAGGCAGUCCUUCCUAUCUUAGAAAGAGCCAGUGUUCAGAAUGUGGUACUGUUGCUCUGAAAAGAAAUUUUUGAAGUGUAGCUAGAGCUGACUGUGGCCAUGGGGAAGGAGUCACAAGUGCCAAGUGGGACUGGAGAAGUCUGUGAGAGUCUCCAAAGUGCCACGCUAGAAGUUAUUUGUAUUCAAGAUGAGCUAGGCUUCUGACACCAAGGCUGCACAUUUGCAGAAUGUAGAACAAACGGCCACUGGGAAUGUUAGGAAUUUCUCGUUAUUUUUCAUUAUGAAGGUGCCAAAGUGUCUGUGCUUAUGUUAAAUCUGAGGGCACCAUUGCUGGAAACGGGAAGAAAUAAAGUAGUAUAUCAAACAUGGACCUGAAAAGGU
rnacentral:lncRNA from 1 species